CUACGGGUCGCUGCAGUAACGAAUAUUGCACAAUGAACGAAAGUUUGAUGCAGCAAUGCCGCGUGUAGGAUGAAGCCCCUCGGGGUGUAAACUACUGUCAGGGACUAGAAAGUGCGCUUCGGCGUAUUGAUCAAUCCCAGAGGAAGCCACGGCUAACUUCGUGCCAGCAGCCGCGGUAAUACGAAGGUGGCGAGCGUUGUUCGGAAUCACUGGGCUUAAAGCGCGCGUAGGCGGAAUAUCAAGUGUCUUGUGAAAGCCCCCGGCUUAACCGGGGAAUUGCUCGGCAAACUGAUAUUCUUGAGGGAAGUAGGGGUACAUGGAACUCUUAGUGGAGCGGUGGAAUGCGUAGAUAUUAAGAGGAACGCAAAUGGUGAAGACAGUGUACUGGGCUUGUCCUGACGCUGAGGUGCGAAAGCGUGGGGAGCGAACGGGAUUAGAUACCCGCGUAGUC
rnacentral:rRNA from 1 species